GCCUGUUCUAAUGAAAUUGCCUAGUUUCGCUUACGAGCAUCAGUAACGUCUUGAUCUCGAUUUCAACGUAAUAUAUUAUCGUAAUUUUUUUUUGGUAAAAAAUAUGGAAAUUAUUAAAUCUAAUGAAGGUGAGUACAAAAUUUGUUUGAGUGAAUAUUUAAUAUGCAUAUAUAAUGAAACAUUAAGGGCGUAUGGAGAUAUACAGCGAAGAAUCUUUAUUGAAAUAUUACAGAUCAAUGUACACGGACUUGGAGAAAUGUAAUCCUCAAAUUGGAAAAGUUUAUAGUCAUAUAGGAUAUAGCUGAUACACACGAGGUAAAAUGUGAUAACUGGACAGUAGGUCUCGGAAUUUUAAAAUGGGCUGGAUAAUAUGUUUUUUAUACAUU